rnacentral:rRNA from 1 species
CGUCCUACGGGGGGCAGCAGUGGGGGAUAUUGCACAAUGGGGGGAACCCUGAUGCAGCGACGCCGCGUGAAGGAAGAAGGCUUUCGGGUUGUAAACUUCUUUUCUGAGGGACGAAGAAAGUGACGGUACCUCAGGAAUAAGCCACGGCUAACUACGUGCCAGCAGCCGCGGUAAUACGUAGGUGGCAAGCGUUAUCCGGAUUUAUUGGGUGUAAAGGGCGUGUAGGCGGGAAAGCAAGUCAGAUGUGAAAACUCAGGGCUCAACCCUGAGCCCGCAUUUGAAACUGUUUUUCUUGA